GAUCAUGGCUCAGGACGAACGCUGGCGGCGUGCCUAAUACAUGCAAGUAGAACGCUGAAGGAGGAGCUUGCUUCUCCGGAUGAGUUGCGAACGGGUGAGUAACGCGUAGGUAACCUGCCUGGUAGCGGGGGAUAACUAUUGGAAACGAUAGCUAAUACCGCAUAAGAGUAGAUGUUGCAUGACAUUUGCUUAAAAGGUGCAAUUGCAUCACUACCAGAUGGACCUGCGUUG
rnacentral:rRNA from 1 species